rnacentral:rRNA from 1 species
GGGGAAUAUUGGACAAUGGAGGAGACUCUGAUCCAGCAAUUCUGUGUGCACGAAGACGGUUUUCGGAUUGUAAAGUGCUUUCAGCAGGGAAGAAGAAAGUGACGGUACCUGCAGAAGAAGCGACGGCUAAAUACGUGCCAGCAGCCGCGGUAAUACGUAUGUCGCGAGCGUUAUCCGGAAUUAUUGGGCAUAAAGGGCAUCUAGGCGGAUAUACAAGUCAGGGGUGAAAACUUAGGGCUCAACUCAAAGCUUGCCUUUGAAACUGUAUAUCUAGAGUGCUGGAGAGGUGGACGGAACUACACGAGUAGAGGUGAAAUUCGUAGAUAUGUGUAGGAAUGCCGAUGAUGAAGAUAGUCCACUGGACAGCAACUGACGCUGAAGUGCGAAAGCUAGGGGAGCAAACAGGAUUAGAUACCCUGUUAGUCCUAGCUGUAAACGAUGAUUACUGGGUGUGGGCAUGAAGAGUGUCUGUGCCGAAGCUAAUGCGAUAAGUAAUCCGCCUGGGGAGUACGACCGCAAGGUUG